ensembl:lncRNA
AAGCACGUGGCGGAGCACGUCCUGGGAUCAAGGUGCCAUGGACUGGAAAAUGCAGCUCUGGACAUACAGGCUUGGCGGAGUUCCUGUGUGAAGACAAAACUCCCAGUACUCCAGAAACGUGGAGGCAGAAGAGCAGUGACAAGAUGAUGCCUUUGGUGUUCCCUCUCCAGAUGCUCAUCUGGAUCCAGAUUUUGCGCCUCAGGGGAAACCCAGAGGCCCUCUUGGUCAAUCUGCAGAGUGGAAUCCUGACCCUGAGCCUGGUAUGGAUGCUGGAGAAGUGCCCCCAGGGAAGGCCUUGCCAAGUCCUCGGCUCUUUCCUGUGCUGGAGCCCCGCUGGAAUCCCAGGGGUCUGGAAAAAGGAAAGGAUGCAUCUAGAAGAGGAAAAUACUCACAGAGGUCAUCUCGUGUGAUAAAGGAACUGCUGAAGGAAAUGGAGAAGGCAGCGCGUGGGACUGACCAACAAACUGCACAGGACGCGCUGCAGGAAGGCAGCCAUCCCACGCUGCCAGUCUGGGACAGAGAAACACAGACAGCGCCAACAACUGGCAUGCCAGGGAUGAAUGCUGGGAAAAACACAAGGGCUGCGGUUCAGGAGUUUGUACAAGUGCUCUUCUUCCCAGUGAUUGCACUGCUUUUAACAGUGCUGCUGUCUGCGCUGGUGAUGACUUGUACUGCUGUGUCAUGGAUGUGGCAAAAAUAUCCAGUGUGCAAGAGAGCAGAGACAACUCCAGGACAAGCUCAUCCUGACAGUGUGCGGGAGAGAGGCCAGUCUGGAGGUGAAGGCAGAGCGGAGCUGGGAGAGGCAACAAAAGAUGAUGUAGUUGCCCAAGAAAACAAGAACUUGUACAGCGGAUCCAGCCCGUUCCCCUCCUCCUUUGAAGCAGAGUUUGAAUACCUGUGCAGCAAAAUCCGCACAGACCCUUCACUUUGGCCCACGUGUCCCAGCAGCUCUCCCAUGGACAGUGUCUCUUCCCCAGAUACCCGUGGUUCUUGGGGUUCCCCAUAGCCAUCUAGUGCCCCGGUUACCUGUGUCAGCAUGGCUGGGGUUCCCUGGAAGACCCCGCUUUCUGAGUAAUAAAGACACCC